GUAAAGGCUGAGAACGGGACUAGUAAGUCUCCAGCGAGGGUACAGAGAGUCGGAUUUGGUGUGAACCGAUACCAGCGCAGAAAACUGAAUGGACCCGGGAGCCGCAAACCGAACCUUAGGAAGUAGGCUUUGACGCAGGGGAAGCGUUAACAGGUCCCGGGGUAUUAUCAGGUACCCGCAAUGAGAUUGGUCGGCCUUUUCUAUCUUUCCCGACCGAAUAAGGGUGGCACCGUGAGGAAUUAACUCCUCGCCCCUUCA
rnacentral:ncRNA from 1 species